GCCGAAGUGGUGAAACUGGUAGACGCGCUGGACUCAAAAUCCAGUGGGGGCAACCCCGUGCCGGUUCGAUUCCGGCCUUCGGUA
rnacentral:tRNA from 1 species